CCUACGGGUGGCAGCAGUCGAGAAUCAUUCACAAUGGGGGAAACCCUGAUGGUGCGACGCCGCGUGGGGGAAUGAAGGUCUUCGGAUUGUAAACCCCUGUCAUGUGGGAGCAAAUUAAAAAGAUAGUACCACAAGAGGAAGAGACGGCUAACUCUGUGCCAGCAGCCACGGUAAUACAGAGGUCUCAAGCGUUGUUCGGAAUCACUGGGCGUAAAGCGUGCGUAGGCUGUUUCGUAAGUCGUGUGUGAACGGCGCGGGCGCAACCCGCGGACGGCACAUGAUACUGCGAGACUAGAGUAAUGGAGGGGGAACCGGAAUGCUCGGUGUAGCAGGGAAAUGCGUAGAUAGCGAGAGGAACACUCGUGGCGAAGGCGGGUGCCUGGACAUUAACUGACGCUGAGGCACGAAGGCCAGGGGAGCGAAAGGGAUUAGAUACCCGAGUAGUC
rnacentral:rRNA from 1 species